rnacentral:rRNA from 1 species
UACAGAGGUGGCAAGCGUUGUUCGGAAUUACUGGGCGUAAAGGGCGAGUAGGUGGCCAUCUAAGUCAGACGUGAAAUCCCCCGGCUUAACCUGGGAACUGCGUCUGAUACUGGAUGGCUUGAGUUUGGGAGAGGGACGCGGAAUUCCAGGUGUAGCGGUGAAAUGCGUAGAUAUCUGGAGGAACACCGGUGGCGAAGGCGGCGUCCUGGACCAACACUGACACUGAGGAGCGAAAGCCAGGGGAGCAAACGGG